rnacentral:lncRNA from 1 species
ACUUAAUUUUAGAGUUAGUCGUUGGAAGAUAAUAGACCCGAGCAUGGCAUGAUCAACGCACUCGGAGGAGUUACAUGGCUAGUCCGUCUAUUUGUCCUAAGCGAUAUUGGCACUUGAGUGAGAUGCAGGAUACAGCUCGAUUAUCGCUUGCUUUUGUGAAACUGAACACCUGAGCAAGAGGGGAUUGUUGUGAUUUGCACAAGAAAUAAACAAUGUGAUUUCGUGGAAAUAGAUCCAGGCACUCUAAUUAAGGAAUUCCUUCAGGCAUAAACAUUAGGAUUACUUGUGCUCUUAUCACCAGAUCAAGGUAAAGGGCUUGGAUAUUGUAGAAUCUGACAAUCUAUACACAUACAUCCGAUCUAACGUCAUUUUUGACCACUAUUUUCAUAUUGUCAUGUU